AGUUGAAGAGCAUUGAGGAUCCAAAAUUCCAAAAAGUUGUGCCAAAUACGGCUAAGGUAAUCUAUGCCUGGGAUAAGAAAAUCCUUAGUUUUCGAAAAAUUCAAAGUUUUGUAAACAGGAAAUUUAUAAAAAUGACCACAUUAUUGAUAUUCAUGUCAACACCGAAGUGUUGAAUACUGGGCUGGUGAUACCCUCGGGGACGAAACGUCCACCAGCAGUGG
rnacentral:lncRNA from 1 species